UGUGAGCAUAGGAGGGCAUAGCCGUUUCACUCUGACUGUGCUGUGCCUGGCUCAUUACUUCCUCUGUUACCUCCCAUAGACCCAUCGAGCCAUCUCGGGAACCUUGAAGUUGGAAUAUUAACAAAACAUGUAAGCGAAAGCAGCCACCAAAGCAUCGUUCCGGGUUCGUCACAUCAUCGUUAAGAACAAGAAGUCCUUCCAAGACGGAGAGAUGCUGUAAAGGAGUACAGUGACACGCCAUUGUGAAGCCAUGGCUGAUGUGUGGAAGGGCAUCGGAAAUUGAAUGUUUCUCACUGCAGUUGGACGAAUCCACUGACGUGAGUGACACAGCCCAGGUGUACAUUUACGUUCAUAUGAUGUUUAGUGAUCAUCAACGUGAACUGAGAUAGUUACAAAAAAUGUUUAUGGUUCACUAUGUUGUGUUGUUCAAUAUUGACUCAUGCUUAUGCAAGGCACACAAACAUACAUUUGCACAUAAAGAAUCCUCCGUAUACUGUACUUUAAAAUAAAUAUGUUUUGCAUUUUUGUAGUGGGUAGAUGUUUGUGGCUUUGUCAUUCUAUUUCAUUAUUGGUCAUUCUCAAAAAAAAUAAAAGACGUUAACCCCCCCACCCCCUUCAACCUACCCCCCACCUCGCUUGAUCGUGAGAGGCUGGCUGCUUGAAAAGUAGAUCUUUUGGUAAAAAAA